UACGUAGGGGGGCGAGCGUUGUCCGGAGUUACUGGGCGUAAAGGGCGCGCAGGCGGUCUGGUAAGUUUGGAGUGACAGUGCUCGGCUUAACUGAGCAAGGCCUUCGAAAACUGCUAGACUUGAGCACUCAAGAGGGACAUAGAAUUCCGGGUGGAGUGGUGAAAUGCGCAGAUAUCAGGAGGAACACCGGUGGCGAAGGCGGUUCUCUGGGCAUGUCCUGACGCUGAGGAGCGAAGUGUGGGGAGCGAACAGGA
rnacentral:rRNA from 1 species